rnacentral:lncRNA from 1 species
UGACUUUUUGUUGUUUGAAUGGUAGCUUUCCAUAAAAUGAGUAGAACAGGAACGGACUUGAAUAAUUUAUUCUAUGGUUUUUUUUGUUUCAAUUCUUACGGCCAAGAGAAGUUCUUGUACAAAGCGAUAACUACUGAGAUCCAUAACAAGGAAACUACUUGCAUUCUCUUAGGGACACCAUAACAUACCUGAGACAUGUAAGCUUGAUGCUCGCCAAGAAACUUACUUAUUUGACGAGACUAAUCAAAGUAAAAUGUCCUGUCGCUUCUUUAACUUGCUAACUAGAGAAAAUAACAUUUUUAUAUCUCAUAAAUGUGCAUUCUUACAAAUAUAAGAACCAAAGAAAGGUCGUGAUCUCCUUUUUGAUUACUUUGACUUUUUGUUGUUUGAAUGGUAGCUUUCCAUAAAAUGAGUAGAACAGGAACGGACUUGAAUAAUUUAUUCUAUGGUUUUUUUUGUUUCAAUUCUUACGGCCAAGAGAAGUUCUUGUACAAAGCGAUAACUACUGAGAUCCAUAACAAGGAAACUACUUGCAUUCUCUUAGGGACACCAUAACAUACCUGAGACAUGUAAGCUUGAUGCUCGCCAAGAAACUUACUUAUUUGACGAGACUAAUCAAAGUAAAAUGUCCUGUCGCUUCUUUAACUUGCUAACUAGAGAAAAUAACAUUUUUAUAUCUCAUAAAUGUGCAUUCUUACAAAUAUCUUAUGUCCCUUAGAUUCGUGAUUAGGCAGCGCCAGAGUCUGUGCUAGUUGUGUUAUUACACUCUAUCAUUUAUACUCGCAUUAGACUAAAACAUUACUUAUACUUAGACCUGAUAUCCUGAUAUAUGGUGUUUUUCCAUUCUUGGUGGAAUUCAUCAGAGUGUUCUUUUUGAGGAAUUCAUCCUAAUUUUCGUGUAAUCAAUAUCGUCCUUGUUUGAAACUUUGAAUUAUUUAGAUUCCAAGUUUACCAAAAGAUUUUUGACGAGAAAUAUAUGCAUUAUUUCCUACUUGUAAUCACUAAGUGUGGUUUAGAACAGGACUAAAACUCUGUCUCG